UAUGUAAGGCACAAAUCGAGAGCCAAGCUA
rnacentral:piRNA from 1 species